GCUCAGUGUCAGUAGGUUAGUGGACGGUCAGCGUCAGUAGGUUAGUGGACGGUCAGCGUCUGUAGGUUAGUGGACGGUCAGCGUCAGUAGGUUAGUGGACGGUCAGCGUCAGUAGGUUAGUGGACGGUCAGCGUCUGUAGGUUAGUGGACGGUCAGCGUCAGUAGGUUAGUGGACGGUCAGCGUCAGUAGGUUAGUGGACGCUCAGUGUCAGUAGGUUAGUGGACGCUCAGUGUCAGUAGGUUAGUGGACGCUCAGUGUCAGUAGGUUAGUGGACGGUCAGCGUCAGUAGGUUAGUGGACGGUCAGCGUCAGUAGGUUAGUGGACGGUCAGUGUCAGU